rnacentral:rRNA from 1 species
UACGAAGGGGGCUAGCGUUGCUCGGAAUCACUGGGCGUAAAGCGCACGUAGGCGGGCUACCAAGUCAGGGGUGAAAUCCUGCGGCUCAACCGUAGAAGUGCCUUUGAUACUGGUAGUCUCGAGGGAGGUAGGGGCGUGCGGAACUUCCGGUGGAGCGGUGAAAUGCGUAGAUAUCAGGAGGAACACCGGUGGCGAAGGCGGGUCUCUGGGCCGAAACUGACGCUGAGGAGCGAAAGCGUGGGGAGCAAACAGG